GUCCACAACGUCUGGCUUCCUCGCGUGAAAUACUUUUAUAGAGCCCAUAGCGGUGAAGGGCUAGUGAAUUAAUGUCAGUGACCUUAACUUCUCGGCCCUUUUUGCAAAAAGAUGAGCAUUACUUAGAUAUAUGUGUUCUUUAACUUCUUGGUGUGCAAAAUUGUUUUUCCCCAUUUUCUCCUUAGCUAAAUGACGAUUCGUAGCUUCAAAAAAGAAAAAAAAAGUAUCUGGUACCUACUGGAACAUUUUGGCAUGCUGCAGACAACUAGCAAACAACGUCAAAAUAGCAACAAAAAGAACUUGUUCGAGGCUACUACAGAUUCCGGUAAUUUGAACAAUUCUGGUAUCAUUUUCAAGAGUUCCGCGUUCAGUAGAAGGAAUUUAUUCUGGGCGCUGUCACUUUUUCAGUUAAGGUAAUGGACCUGUGAUUAAAGUCGGGAAUUUCCGUUAUUUUCCGUAAUCACCGUUUGCAAUUUCGGCAUACUCCGGUUGUUACGCUUACGGAGGAUAAGUAAACGAAUAAAAUAACAGAUUUAUUACCGAAAUAAGAAUUCCACGUAACGAGAUCGCGUAAAUAGAGGAUAUUACAUGAGUGUCUUUUCAUACUGAAUUUAUUAAACGAGUUGAAUAAAAUAAUAAAAUUAUCACAUGUAAGUUUUUCCUGUCGAAACAUUGAAAAUUCUACUUUCUUUUGCUUUAUAAACAACUCGGUUUGACCAACGUUUCCUAUACUAUAAAUGUAGUGUAUUAUCAUUUUUUUAAGUCAUGGCCUUAUUACACUCCCGCGACGUCAAACAUGAGAUAUUAUUAUAUACAUUAUUGUCAGCAGUCGUUUCUGUAUCAUUUAUCAAUAAAUUUAUCAUCCAUUAAUUCCAAACAAAAAAAGCAGGAAGAUUAAACAAAAGUUUCUUUAACUACAACAAACUCGACUCUCAUGGGAACGCAUUCUCUAUUUUGCAAUUAGCAAAUUGAAUGAAAGCCGUUUCAAUGACGAAUCAAUAGAUUUUGUAAUUAAGGCAAGGUCUGUUGGUAACAGAUGCUCCUAAUACAGCAACAGGCCAGAUACAUUGCAGUGUAAACGUAUAUGGACUUUUACAGUUGCAUAAAAGAGCUAGCGGUAAAUGGACAGUAUUGGGAGCCAAAGGACAUUACUUUUGAUCUGCAUAAAAACUGGAAUGAACUAAAACUAUUUUUCUAGAGAUGUCGGAUGUUACUUGCCAUAAUGCUGACACCGACCAGGGUCUGCGUCAGGAAGCUGAACCGAGGGCACCUUUGCAAACAAACUUGACGACCCAGCAGACGACAAGUGAAAAAGAGGCGGGAAGUCAAAACUUCUGCAGACGACAACUUAGUCGUCACUUACAAAUAAAACGAAAGGAGGGAAAAACUGACAAACAAGUACAAACUCUCAUAAGUGGAGAUUUCUUCGUUAACACAGCUAACGUGUAUUCUGGACAUCUUGUUGAAUAGGAACUACAGACAGCUUUUACAACAAAAUUACACACAAAAAACCCCAAACAUCUGCGUUUGUAUUUCCGCAAAUAUUGUACAAUAGUAUAGCUCUUGCAUGAUGGACAUUUUUUCUUUCUAUAUAAACUUCAGUUUAUUUAAGGAAUAAUUUAUAGCAAAACAGUGCUUUAUCACUAUUUAUACACGAUGGGAGGUUAUACGUCGGGCGUAAUAAUUUCACGAGGGCGCAGCAUUGUUAGCCAUAUUAGAAUUUAGAAUGAAACAUG